UUUAUGGAGAGUUUGAUCCUGGUUCAGGAUGAACGCUGGCGGCGUGCCUAAUACAUGCAAGUCGAGCGAACGGACGAGAAGCUUGCUUCUCUGAUGUUAGCGGCGGACGGGUGAGUAAAACGUGGAUAACCUACCUAUAAGACUGGGAUAACUUCGGGAAACCGGAGCUAAUACCGGAUAAUAUUUUGAACCGCAUGGUUCAAAAGUGAAAGACGGU
rnacentral:rRNA from 1 species